GUAAUACUGUUUGUAUAAUUGUCGGCAAGUUUUCGUUUGUACCGGAUAAUCUCCGGAACGGACGGACCGAUUUUGUCGGGACUUUGACUAGGACGUAGCUAAUGUGUGCGGCAAUAUAACUCCGAGCCGCUGUUAUCUUUGAAUACAGUUAUACUUUUGUUUUGUUAGGCAACAUCGACAUCUAUAAAGAUAAGGAUAACAGAAUACGCGACAACUUACGAAGGGGUUUAUCAAGCUGUAUUUAUGCUCGGAAGUGAUGAAGUUACUAAGAGUAUUAUGGAGAUCAAGGAUCCAAACGUCAAGUCAAGUGGUGCUCUGACAACGGCAGGAUCAGCGGCGUCUGAAGUAACCACUGAUGCAGCAGCGGCAGCAGGAUCGACAGACGCAGUUGUAGCAACUAGUGAUCCUUCAGAUUGACAAUACUAUUGUUACGCUACAAAUUUUAAACUCGACAUUUAACUGAAUCUUUGAUUAUUUCUAGAUGACUGAAAAUAA